UACGGAGGAUGCAAGCGUUAUCCGGAUUUAUUGGGUUUGAAGGGUGCGUAGGCGGGACAGUAAGUCAGAGGUGAAAUCUCCCGGCUUAACCGGGAAACUGUCUUUGAUACUGUUGUCCUUGAGUCUAAUUGAGGUGGGCGGAAUGUGUAAUGUAGCGGUGAAAUGCAUAGAUAUUACACAGAACACCGAUUGCGAAGGCAGCUCACUAAAUUACAACUGACGCUGAGGCACGAAAGCGUGGGUAGCGAACAGGAUUAGAUACCCCAGUA
rnacentral:rRNA from 1 species